UUGCUGCAUACCUUGUUACUUAUGUAUGUGUCUAGGACUGUAUUUACCAGUACUGGUCGGCCGCUCGUAAAUAAGGUUGUCCGACUAUAUUGUGUCAACAGUCACGUUGAUUAACGAUCUUUUCUAAUACAGCAGCGUAAUUUACAUUAGCUGAUAUUUCAGUAACUAUGUAUUUUAGACCCCAUUUGGUGUGUAAUACUCGUUCUAUGUAGAAUUCAACGGUUUAUACGAGUUUGGACUACACAUAAGUAAUGCAACAAAUCCGCAGUUUACCAGCGAUCACUGGACAAAAACUUCGGCAUGAUGUAUCGCAAGUCCGCAAUUGAUCAUGUAUUUAUUCACCGACGACUCAUCAAUACACAUAUUGUUUAUUGCACUCGUCUUUAGAGAGAUACCGACGGGCAAUUAUUUCACGUCUUCACGUCACGCUUUCAUGUUUGAAAUCAAAGGUCACUUCAAGGUCAAGUCGCUAUACAAACCAAAUGUAUUUUUUAUUUAAAUAAACGUUCGAAUUUGAUCAUUUAUGAAAAAACUUAA